AUUGAACGCUGGCGGCAUGCCUUACACAUGCAAGUCGAACGGUAACAGGUCUUCGGAUGCUGACGAGUGGCGAACGGGUGAGUAAUACGUCGGAACGUGCCCGAUCGUGGGGGAUAACGGAGCGAGAGCUUUGCUAAUACCGCAUACGAUCUACGGAUGAAAGCAGGGGACCGCAAGGCCUUGCGCGGACGGAGCGGCCGAUGGCAGAUUAGGUAGUUGGUGGGAUAAAAGCUUACCAAGCCGACGAUCUGUAGCUGGUCUGAGAGGACGACCAGCCACACUGGGACUGAGACACGGCCCAGACUCCUACGGGAGGCAGCAGUGGGGAAUUGUGGACAAUGGGCGCAAGCCUGAUCCAGCCAUGCCGCGUGCAGGAUGAAGGCCUUCGGGUUGUAAACUGCUUUUGUACGGAACGAAAAGACUCUGGUUAAUACCUGGGGUCCAUGACGGUACCGUAAGAAUAAGCACCGGCUAACUACAUGCCAGCCGCCGCAGUAAAAC
rnacentral:rRNA from 1 species